UAAUAUUUAUUGGCAUAAAUUGAGGGGGAAUUCUGUUGAGGGGGAACUAAUUGCAUAUCUAUGUACUUGUCUUGGAUCGUCAUUAUGAAUUAUCUAAUAUGCAUAUCCCGAUAUUGGUUUGCCAUUAUCAAAAAGGGGGAAAUUGUUGAAACACGUUCUCAAGGCACUAAACUAAACGUGUGUUCAUAUUUGCAUGUUUUGAUAAAUG
rnacentral:lncRNA from 1 species